rnacentral:rRNA from 1 species
ACGCUCGACACCUACUGGAGGCAGCAGUGGGGAAUAUUGCACAAUGGGGGAAACCCUGAUGCAGCGACGCCGCGUGGAGGAAGAAGGUCUUCGGAUUGUAAACUCCUGUUGUUGGGGAAAAAGAGGAUGGUACCCAACAAGGAAGUGACGGCUAACUACGUGCCGCAGCCGCGGUAAUCUGAGCGGGCUGGCAAGGC